AAGAAUACAAAGGCACCAAGUGAGUUGUGGAGAGGGACCUCCAUCUGCUUGGCUUUACCCCGUUGUCCUCUUGGGAUUCCUUCAGCAUGCCAUGUAGUCAGAGCACAACCAACUUCCAAGCCUCUGUGGCAGAACUCAAAACUGAAACCAUUUUGAAGGAAUUUGUCUGGUUCUCAGCACCACAAACAUCUGGGAAAGGAAGCUGUUCAGAAUCAGAGCUCUGGCAGAGUAUCUCCAGCUGCACUGUCAUACGCCGGGCAUUGAGGCUGUGCACCGCAACCCACCAUACCUAGUGACCAGUCAUGUAUUUUGUCCCAACAACAAGAACUCUUUGAGAAGAGCAUUUCAGUGUUUGAUUUCAUUUGGAAUAAUACAAAAAGCUAGGUACUAAAGAAUAAAAUGUGUCAUUUGUAAUGGG